rnacentral:rRNA from 1 species
AACGAACGCUGGCGGCAUGCCUAACACAUGCAAGUCGAACGAAGCCUUCGGGCUUAGUGGCGCACGGGUGCGUAACACGUGGGAAUCUGCCCUUCGGUUCGGAAUAACAGUUAGAAAUGACUGCUAAUACCGGAUGAUGACGUAAGUCCAAAGAUUUAUCGCCGAAGGAUGAGCCCGCGUAGGAUUAGGUAGUUGGUAGGGUAAUGGCCUACCAAGCCGACGAUCCUUAGCUGGUCUGAGAGGAUGAUCAGCCACACUGGGACUGAGACACGGCCCAGACUCCUACGGGAGGCAGCAGUGAGGAAUAUUGGACAAUGGGCGAAAGCCUGAUCCAGCAAUGCCGCGUGAGUGAUGAAGGCCUAGGGUUGUAAAGCUCUUUACCAGGGAUGAUAAUGACAGUACCUGGAGAAUAAGACUCCGGCUAACUCCGUGCCAGCAGCCGCGGUAAU